rnacentral:rRNA from 1 species
GACGUAGGGCGCGAGCGUUGUCCGGAUUUAUUGGGCGUAAAGAGCUCGUAGGCGGCUUGUCGCGUCGACUGUGAAAACCCGCGGCUCAACCGUGUGGCUUGCAGUUGAUACGGGCAGGCUAGAGUUCGGUAGGGGAGACUGGAAUUCCUGGUGUAGCGGUGAAAUGCGCAGAUAUCGGGAGGAACACCCGUAGCGAAGGCGGCACUCUGGGCCGGAACUGACGCUGAGGAGCGAAAGCGUGGGGAGCAAACAGG